GAUGAACGCUGGCAGCGUGCCUAAUACAUGCAAGUCGAGCGAACAGACGAGGAGCUUGCUCCUCUGACGUUAGCGGCGGACGGGUGAGUAACACGUGGAUAACCUACCUAUAAGACUGGGAUAACUUCGGGAAACCGGAGCUAGUACCGGAUAAUAUAUUGAACCGCAUGGUUCAAUAGUGAAAGACGGUUUUGCUGUCACUUAUAGAUGGAUCCGCGCCGCAUUAGCUAGUUGGUAAGGUAACGGCUUACCAAGGCAACGAUGCGUAGCCGACCUGAGAGGGUGAUCGGCCACACUGGAACUGAGACACGGUCCAGACUCCUACGGGAGGCAGCAGUAGGGAAUCUUCCGCAAUGGGCGAAAGCCUGACGGAGCAACGCCGCGUGAGUGAUGAAGGUCUUCGGAUCGUAAAACUCUGUUAUUAGGGAAGAACAAAUGUGUAAGUAACUAUGCACGUCUUGACGGUACCUAAUCAGAAAGCCACGGCUAACUACGUG
rnacentral:rRNA from 1 species